ACUUCAGGAAAGCACGGAAUACUUUCCCGGGCUUCAGAGAGGCGAAUUCCUUCGUUCUGCGCCCGCAAGCCCGGCUCUUGCUUCGUUUCUAGAGCCUCCGGGCAGGAGUGGUGGCCGUAAUCUCAGGUUCACUGGGGGUGGGGGUGACACCUUGUGGGUUCCAGAGGCCAGACUCAAGGUGAACGUGGGUGACUUGGGGGGCGGGGUGCAUCAGCUGUGAUAAACGGCAUGUUUCGAUCGUUUGGUAGUUGGUUAACUUGGUGACAUUUGCGCCCAGAGGAGGGCAGUUGCUGCCUGCCUAAAAAUCGGUGCCAGCGGCACUUAAUCUUCCUUUCCAGUGAACAGCGACUAGUCUGGGAAGGAAGAAUACCCUUAGGGAAACACCCAGAGCCUGCACAUAUUCUGACUGGAUAAUCUCAGAGCCCGUUUUGGAGGGUGAGGGUUGGGAAGGAUUCGAAGACAAGCACGCGGGGAGAGGUUGGAGCCUAGAGUUAAUCCCACCUAGCUCGGCCUCUGCUCACGGUCAAGAGUACCAUUCUGGAUAAGCAGUAACUGAUAAGAAGGCGCAAACAGGCUAGGAGGACCACGAAGGAAAGCACACAGUGGCCCACAGUCGGUGGCAGCGUUCGCGUAGUUUGGAGCUCUGAGAUCCGGGCAUCGCCGCAACAGACUCCUCCCUCCAACUAGUCACUCUUUGGGAGCCCCGCGCCUCAGGGCAGGUGUUUGGGGUUUGGUUUCGUUUUUUUUUUUUUUUUUUUUUUUGGUUCUUCCAGAACAGUCAGGAUUUAAGGGGAUGCAGACCCUACUCAAGGAGAAGCGCUGGGAACCCGGGUUGGAGUGCGUUUCGGGGCACGUGGAAAAGCCCGGGAGAGGCAGGGGGUAGCGGCGACGGCGCAACCUGGAACCGCCUGGAGCGCGGGCGGGCAGCGGCCGGUUGCCGCCAGGCCUCUUAUUCCAGGCUGGCCGCGGAUGGGGCCCGCAGCUCUAGCGAAGCGACAACCAAGGUAGCCGCAGUUUUACAAAGAAACAGAACGUUUUAAAAAGCUUUGACUUACUCUCCAUUUCUUGCUCUUUGCUUUUAAUCUGCACUGAGUCAAACGAAGGAAGUGGGAGUUGCGUUAGCACGCUCAGGGCCCACACGCCAAACAAAAUUCCCUCCUCUUGGGGUCGCUAGUCCUAGAGGCACAGGAGACGGUGAGGGCAAAGGUCGGGCACAGGCGCUACCGGGUUGUUCCCCAGGCCACCUACGAGGUCCUGCACCCCUCUCUGCGGCUACUUUGGUGCUUGACUGUGCUUGUUUCCACUCAGAAGCUUUAUAUAUUUUUAAAGAAAUGGAAAGGCUCUGGAGACCAUCUCUUCCUCCCCCUACACUCUGUGGAUUGUCCACCAGGCUCCCACAAGUGCCAUCUCUAAACCUGCAGCCGGGCUGAAGGCUAGGCAGAGGGCAAGGACGUUUGGUCCUUUUGGUGCAGAAAGGCCACGUGAGACGAAACUUCUCAGGCCAUUUGCCCUUAGAAUGCCCCAGACCCCUGUCUCACACUUCCCACUUUUAUUUCUAUUGGAAGGAAUUUUUCUCAAUUAGAACUCACUCGGGCGCCACGAGGGAAGGAAAGCCCUUUAUGAAAAGUCAGGGAUUUUCAUUUGCAAACGAAAAGAUCCAGGUUGUUUCUCUUUCACCCAACAUUGCAAAGUUUUUUGGUGGGUAUUUGGGGGGAGGUGGUUUGAACGGGAGAUUUUGUGGUUUUGAAUGCCAGAUAGGGCAGAAGUGCUUAAUUCCCUGCCUUUAUGUUUUACAGAAGAAGUUCACCGGUGGGGUGGGGUGGAGGGGAAAGGGGGGGGCCGAGAAAAUUUAGGACUCCUCUCUCCACCGCCAUUUGUUGUCUGAGAAUCCUAGAGGGAGAGAGGAACAGUAGUGCGAUCCCCGCUUCAAUCCUGGGGUGCCUCCUCACCCCGAUUUAGUAGUCCGAAGGAGUGGGAGGAGUUCCCUGCAACCCGCGGGGUCAAGAAGUAAGUGCUGUGCGUCCGGAGCUGCUCGAAGUCGGAGGGCCUCACCCCAGAGGGCCUCACUCGAAUGCCCCCUGCCCAUCCCCACGCCCGGAAGCCCUGGAGCGCCUGAGCCACCUCGGGGGAACUAGCCAACUGAGGUCCCACUUCCUCCGUUGGGUAACGUUCUCUGCGGGAGCUCGGCGGUUAACCGGGCAGCCGCGCCCGCUACGCUGGCCUCUGCAUCCUGAGCCUGCCGGAGGGAGAGACAGUCUAGCCGGGAGGAAGGUCCACUCUGUAGCCCGCCCCCGCAUGUAGGCGCUGUCCUGCACCUCCGGAGCUUGAGGCCCAAGGAAAUGAGGGCUGCGUAGACCUGGCCGCGCACUUCUCUCAUCCACGUUCCCACUGAACGUCAGCGCUGAGACCUGUGGCACAGAGGAGCUGGUCUGAAUCACCGUUUGGCAGAGAUGGAAGUUCAACUCCCCGUCUACAGAGAAGUAAACUGAGGCCCAGGCAGCGGAGGAAAGGCAGCUGUGGAGCUCAGUGGUUAAGAGCAAGGAACUGGUGGUCGGAGAACGGAACCUCAGGUCCACCAGGAUGCGUAGCAAGAUAGUGGCAAAGCCGAGCUGAAACCCAGGUCUCUCAACGUCUAGCUCGGGGCUUUACCCCCACGACCCCUCUGCCUCCCUAGAGCAAAUGGAAUGAGGAGUAAAGAAAGGAGGGGGAGAGAGAAGCUGACAAUCCAUAUGGCUUUGGUACGUUAGUAAAACGCAUCCUGGCCUGGAAAGUGCUUAAUUAUUGCAAGAUCAAAAAAAUCGUUGCUGAGUGGGAGGGGGUACUGAGGACCUCUAAACCCCCCACUUUGACCUCGGCUCUGACCAAGAGCCGGGCCCGGUGGAGCAGCCGCGGCCCCAGGGGGCAGCGCAUACUCCCAGGCUGCGCUCCGGGCGUCACCCCGCGGCCGCCGACAACUGAAUAAACACACCGAAGCACUGCGAUCUGUCAAGGGCUGGGGCCACAGACGCCGAAGAGGAGUGGCUCGACCGCCAGCCGCCCCGAGGAACUGGCGCUGGGUUAGCACCUCGCGCAGGAGCUAGAGCCGGGAGCUCCGAGCGCAGGACGGGCAGCCUACCGGCUGCUCCUCUCCACCCUGAAGACUCCAACUCUUCGGUAUCUGCUUACCCCCGGCCUCCCGUCAGGCGCUUAAGCCCGUUUCCAGUCCGGUGCUGGCGGUAGAAACCCCAGCUUCAUUUCUUUAAAUUAAAAAAAAAAAAAAAAAGUCAAGGAGGGACUUCUGUCGGAGUCCACCUUCCCCUUGCCCUCCACCCUGGUUUCCUCUGCUCCUUUGAAAAAAUAACCCGAUGUUUUUGAACAACCACUCGUCUACAGUUCAGACUCCGUUCUUUGACCCAGUUUGGCGUUCAGGACCGGCGAGAACCACCACCUGGGCCUUGCAAAAAUAUCCCCUCUCCCCCAGCGUGCAGUUCUUGGAAUCGCCAGAGUUACCCGUCUGUUCUGAUGCCACCGCGAGAUGAUGGUCCCCAAGCUCCCAGAGUCCCCAUUGGAAGGAUUCCGCAGCGCUGCCUCUAUUAUUAUACCGUAAAUCUUUUUAAAUUCUGGAACUAAUUAUAUAGAGGAUAUGUCUCAAUUUGUUCUGCAUUAAUGCCACAGUGGGGAUGGAGGCCGAGCCGUGGCCAGAGCAGAUACGUAGGCCCAUGAAAUUGAUGAACUGAGAGUUGCUCGCAGUCCUCAGCGCACCAUCUGGAAUUCUAGUCUGAGGUUACAAUUAGAACUCCUGACCCCAGAUUCAACUUUGCAAACAACAAGGGGAAAAAAUGGGGAAAAGAAAAAAAAAAAAAAAAAACCCAACUUAUUCUGCACCUGUAAAAAAAAAAAAUCUCCACACAAUCUUAAAAUCUUCCCAGCUUAGAAGAUUCUUUCCAAGUAUUCUUUUGUGUUUUUUUAACCUAUAAAAGAUAAUGGAAUAUAUUUUAUAGACUGGAUUUUAUCUUAUCCCUUUCCCUCUCCUGGCUGCACUCAGUUUAAUAGUUGUCAGGGCUUUUUUUCCCCCCGUGUUUUUCCUAAGUGUUGGAUUUAAUUAUAUGGGACCAAAAUAUAUACCUCAGUAAAUUAGCUUGCUAAAUAUUCUGUCAUUUUGUGAUUCUGCCUUUGAGAAGCAGCUUAAUUACAGAAAUCUAUCUGGAUCUAGGAACUUGACUUGCUCCAGCUAAACUGUAAUCAGAGAUUUUAUUUGUGUUUAAUUUUAUUUGUGUUCUAAAUCGGUUAGGCCAAUUUCUUCCUUCUUUCUUUAGUAACAUGCUGCUUUAUUUUCCUCUCGCUUUGACCCUCUGAAGAAAAUGAAGGACCAGGCAGUACUGGGGAAUCUGUUAAAUUUAUUAGCAUAAAUGCUUAGACAAAAUGAGAUAUAAAUCAUUCAGAUGUAUUAAGCCAUAAAGUAUCCCAAUGAAGUCAGUGCCUCACAAGGGUCCUGGUGUAUAAAUGUUCAUAUAAAACAAAGUAUCAGUAUUAUCUUUCAAACUGAAUAUAUGCCGUAAAAAUAUCCAAAUGUUGAGUAAGGAAUAUGGGGGCAAUGGCAGGGCAGGAAGGGUAUGUUCUUCAGAGCAGCCUGUUAGCACUGUGGUAGCUCGAAAAGUGAGGCAGAAAGGAAAAAAUCUCCACAGUCUGCAUUAGGAAUACUCAGUAGACAAUUUUUGAAGAAAGGUAUGCAGGAUAGAUUCGAAGAGAAGACAAGAAAUAAGGAAAGAAGAGAUGAAUAGAGAGCAAAACAUUGCUAUCUGUAGAAUGCUCCCCCCCCCCACAAAGGUCAAUUUAGCUUUAAAAAAAAAUCUACUCAGAAAAGGCACUGACUCUUCAUACAGAUAACGGAUGAGCCAUUAGUGAAGAGCCACCUGGGCCUUCGUCUGUGAACCCGGAUAUGUAGCUGGUCGGCAGGAGAAGGAUGUGUAUUCACUAGAGAUGGACUGGGAGAAGAGGGGUGGAGGGGUGAGGAAGGGGAGUUGUCAGAAUUCCUAGCAGACGUUUACCAAGACAAAAAAAUCUGACAAUGUUUAAGGAGCAAUGGCUUGCAAAGCUCAUAAUCACAGCUCUCUGUAAAUCUUGGCAAACCAAGGGUUUCUUUGCCUUUUAGAAAUGAUUGUUCCAAAGCUCUCUCUCUCUCUCUCUCUCUCUCUCUCUCUCUCUCUCUUUAAUCAAGGAGUUUACCAGAGAAAGGGAAUAGUCCCCCUUUUUUCAGCAGGGACAUCUCAGCUUUUGCGUGCUAUCAGUUCAUUCACUAUGGGGUAAACUAUUUACUGACACUUCCGUUGUGCCAAGCAUUGUGGCAGGGACCGGAAAGACAGGAGUAAGAGGACAGGCUCUACUCUGCUCACACAGAGGUUACAUUCCAGUAGGGAUGACAGAAAAAUUACACGCAAACAAGGCAGAUACUUUCAGAUAGGGAUAACUGCUACGAAGGAACGAGGAGAUUUUCUAGACUAGAGGACUAAAAGUAAGACGGGGACGGGAACAAAUAUACUCCCGCUUCUUCCCAUCUUUUACCUGCACUGCCCUAUCUUAAUGUGUUUGUUAGCAUCCUACCUUACUGUCGAGGGGCAAGAAGGGCUUGAAGGAUUUGGAAUGUUUGCUCUGGACAGAUCUCUGCCUAUCAGGGGGCUGAAUUUACGGAAUCAGGAGGGUGGCAGUUUCUAUAGGGCUGGAUUAAAAUCACCACCACCAGCUGAGUGUGAAAGUUACCUGUGCAACACUCCAUUUUCUCCUCUUCAAGAUAAAAACAACAGCACCUAUUCAAGUUGAGAGAACUGGAUGAGGAAAGUCAUGUAAAUUUCCUAGUUCAUGGAGAGCACUCUAUAAAUGGUGACUGUUACCCUGUUACCUGUAUUCAUAUAGACUCUGUUUUCCUUUGCUUCUAAUUAGUUGAUAAGUUCUACACUUAGUAUCAAUAUUGGUGUGAGUUAAGAAAAUCUGCACUGUUGUUGGAUCAGGGAGAAGGGCAGGAAGAGAAGCCCUUUGCCAACAAGUCUGACCUUAAGCAAAGUGGUUGCCACCUUAAAGUGAACCGAAAUCAUUCUGUCCUACAGCCAGGCCUGAAACAGGAAAUAUAUGGCUUCUGCUUCAAAAUCAAGCUUAGAUUCUUUCCUUUCAGUACAUAAGGCUAUAUAGGUCAGCAUCAGCUUGAAAAGUUUAGGAUUGUACUGUUCCUUACAGCCACAUUUCAGAUAUGCAGUGUGGUCCAGAAUAAAGAAUCCUGGGCUAGGUAUAAAAUUACCUUGGCUUGGGGUGCCUGGGUGGCUCCAUUGGUUGAACAUCUGACUCUUGAUUUCCUCUCAGGUCAUGAUCCCAGGGUCGUGGGAUUGAGCCCUAUGUAGGGCUCCAUGCUGAGUGUGGAACCUGCUUAGGAUUCUCUUUCUUUCCUUCUGCCUCUCUCUCAAAUUAAAAACAAACACCUGGGCUCAAAUCCUGUUUCUGCCAAUAACCCAAUGGCCAUGGCCUUGGGGAAAUAGCUUAAGCUCUUGAUUUUUUCAAUAUCCUUAUCUGUAAAAUGAGGAUGAUCGUAAGAAUGAAAUAAAGCAAACAGUGAUUUAAAAACUGCAAAAUGCUAAGCAACACACACACAGAAACAUCGAGACCACUUGUAACAUGGGAACUAACCAGGGCAAGAAAUGCUACAGGGUGCUGGAGAGUAUAUCACUUUCUCUCCUGUUUCUCUGUUUGUAAAGUGGGCAUAGUACCUUUCUCACAGGACUGUUGCAAGAAUUAAAUGAGACAUAUGUAACUACCUGGCAUAGAGUGCUUGCUAUCUAAAUGCUGCUGUUACUAUUAUUGUUAUCUUUCUCUGGCCAUUCUCCUUGCUCCCAGAGCUGAGCUUUACAUUUUCACACUGAUAGUUUUUUUACCGUGGCAGUAUGAAAUAGUAUAAAGAGCAGGGCUUAGAGAUCAGAUGGCUCUGAUCAUCUCUUUAUUCUUUGUUGUCCCUGAGGCUUAAGGUUCAUAACUGUAAAAAUGGAGCUAAUGAUACAUUCAUUUCACAGAGCUGUUUUGAGAACAGAUUAACACAACGCUUGUCAAGUGCCUGCAUGGUGCUUGGCAUGUAGUCAGAAAUCAAUAAAUGGUAGUUCUUAAA